GAUUUUCUAGAUUUUUCGAUUAACAAAAAAUUAUGGGCCUUAAACAAAACAUGACAUCCUUUAUUGUUUGGAUUCUUACAGCCUGUACAUGGGUUGUUGAGGGGCAGAUUUUGACUCAAUCUGAAGCUCAGACAGUGCAGUCUGGUCAAACUGUCAAUAUUCACUGUAAACAUACACCAGCAAUAAACUGUGUUAAAGAAACAGGUUCCACUCAACGUUGCAUGUCCUGGUACCAUCAGAUUCCCGGAGAGGUUCCUAAACUCCUGAUCUAUCUCACAUCUGAUAGAGCAUCAGGAGUUUCCUCUAGAUUCAGUGGCAGUGAGAGUGAAGACAAAAUUAAUUUCACUCUGACCAUCAGUGAAGUUCAGCCUGAAGAUUCAGGAGAUUAUUACUGUCAGAGUGAACACAGCAGAGGCAGUAAUGACUGGGUGUCCACACAGUGUUACAGUGUCAUACAAAAACCUCCAUCAGACCGCAUUGCUGCAGCUAUAACUCACUGCAGAUGUUGAAGAUCAUUACACAGCUUAUAAUGAACUCACACUGCGGUUAUUCACACUAUAUAUUAUGAAUAAUCUAUAAAUAAUAUAUACAAAAAGUUGUUUAGGCUAACAUUUAAGGAUGGAGUUGGUAAACUGUAACUCAGUCAAUGUAUUUUAGCUAUUACUUUUUGUUUAUAUUAGAUAAGUAUUAUUAGCAGUUAUUAAAAACACAAAUGCUCCUUUUAUGAAAAGGUAAAAAACAAAGUCAGUGGAUUUAAUGCAAAAUAGUGAUCUCAUUGUAUAGAAGACCUCUAAAUUAAAAAUACAUAAAAUGAUUGAAUCAAUUAACAAAUAUAUAUUUUACAAUCAUAUACUAGACGAGAUUGACUGAUCACCCAAGGUAAUUUACAUUUGCGGGUAUACAAAUGACAAUUAAAUUUUUCACAAUUAAAAAUAUUAAUGAACACCUUGCUUGAUCACAUUUUUAGUGGUCGCAUAACAUGUAACUAGGCGUAUUUGUUCUUGUGUUGUACUUUACUAAAUGUCUCUACCUUUUUUUAGCUUCCCUGUUUAUUUUUGCUUGAUCUGAUUUACAUUGAUAUAAAAGUAAUCAAGAGAUGAAAUACACACAGGUAUUGAUUCACAAAGCCUUUAUUUGGCAGAAAGAGCACUCUUUAUUAAUAAACAGUUUGCAAUUAUAAAUGUCGAAACUUUAAGACAAGCAUUGAGAAAUAUUUCUUUCAUGAAUCAA